GCCCGGAUGGUGGAAUCGGUAGACACAAAGGGAUUUAAAAUCCCUCGGCGUUCGCGCUGUGCGGGUUCAAGUCCCGCUCCGGGUACCA
rnacentral:tRNA from 1 species